AAGCAAAAGUCGGCUACAAGCCUUCCUGACUCGGCUUGACCCAGCUUGACAAGGCUAGUGCUAAGUUAAGCUCCAAAUUAGACGUCUUCUGUAUAGCUUAUAUGUCUAGUCUUGAAGACUUCUGCUGUAAGACCUGGUGGAGACGUACAGGCUCUGGUACACGUUUUUAAAGUCAAUCUCCAAGUCUUGCAAGCAAAACUUGCGCACAUUUUACUACCAGCUUGCAACGAUUCCUUCGACAGCACCAUCAGUGGAAUGAUUACAUCGUUAUGGUAUCGUCAUAUAACAGCUUUCCGCACAAAACAGUGUAUUACCAGCGUACUGCAAGGUUUAUGCUCGAGUCGAUUUCGCAUAGGCCGCUAGUUAGACGGUUACAGCGCGCGUACCAAGUAUCAGCCAUUGAGGAAGGUACCUUCCUCCAUGGCCAAUUCAAACCUACCGCGUCAGCUCAAACUGAAAAGCCGCGCCAUAGUUUCGUGUGCCCGUGAUGGCAAUACAACAAAACCUUUCAAUAAAAUGUGUGCCGUUAUUACACAAUUCGUAAAAGCUUUAAUAAAACAUUUUGAACGAAGUUUCACAGGCUAGUAUAACAUGGUGCGGCACAACAGUUGGUGCGCUACUAUGGCUUGGCCGCUUCCAACGCUAGCUCCCGCGCCUGCCAUGCUGCCGUUGCCGUGCAUUGUCUCCGUUCGCGCUUGCAGUGUCGCGCAUGGCCGCGCGCCCGCACUUUGCAAAGGAUUCAACGGGUCGCUUUCGUGCGCACAUCGCAUUCUCUGUGUGUUCCUGCGUUGAGGGCUCAGCUUCGUUUUGGUGCUUUCAGACAUUCACGUACUAAUCACAGACAUGGGAAGACUAUAAAACGUCAAGAUGAAAGGCUCCUAGCAGCUCUCAGUGUUCCCAACGAAACUGGCAGAAUGGCAGUGGCUGAUUACAAGCUGCCUUUGGUGAACAAAAAAAAAAAACGUGACCACAUUAGAAUCCGAGCAGAGCUCCAAUCCUGCAUUCUGAUGACACCUUACACAACGGCUCUCUGUUAUGGGGAGCUGGUACUUAAGAAGCUUUACUGUGGGCAUCCUGCCCACUAUUUUCAGACUGUUUUGGUGGAAACUUAAGCUAGACUCUAGGCCAGCGGCGGAAAAAGAGCUUCAGGGACGUGCAUGUCUACAGUGUCAUGGAAGGUAAGAUUAGAGGGCUGCUGUUUGACUGGGCCUAGAGAUAAAGUGCAGUGACUCUUACUCACAAAAUACGUGCUAUUUUGAAUGAAAAAAAUUAAUAAAAACAUGAACACAUUUGAAAAAAAAUAUCCAUCCAGUGUAGCUAAGUCGGGUGGACAUUUUUUUCUUUUAUAAGCCUUCCUCCCCCUUGCAGUUCCAUAGAACUGAUGUUCCACAAAUUUUAUUUACGAGUUGCAAAUCUGUUCGUAUGCAGCAAUGGUUCGGAUAUCAGCCACAACUGCUGAUACCGUGUACACGUGCUACUUGCACUGUUUGACUAGAUGGUUUGGUAUUCCAGAAGCUAUUCAUAGCAAUACCACGUGGGAAAAUGUGAUGACCGAUGCCAUUCGCCAAGCAGCAACUGCCUGGUUGAAGAAUUGCAGUUUGCGAGCGGAUAAAAAGCCAGCACGUUACGUUAAGCUUAGUGUUCAGGUAAUUUCAUAUAGAAAUUUAAGAUAUACUUACGUUUUUAACUGAGUCAGCAUCAUGUAGCAUGUUUACAUCUCAUUAAAAUCGACUGUUGGUUCUAGAUCAGAAGUGCAUGGUAUGGGAUUAACAUUUUGUCUUGGCGUUCUAAACUCUACUUAUAUCAGUCUGUUCUCAAUCGCCAGAUAACUUCCAAUGACCAUCUAUGCAUGAUGUUGUGACAUCAUGCUUUAGUGUGGCCAUAGGGAAACUUGUAUACAUUCUGAAGAAUUUUACUUUAGGCAAUAAAUUCUGGGAACCCUAAGUAGAGUUGGCGUUCAGGGCCACUUGCUUACAUGAAGCAGUGUAAAAGAAAGAUAUAAAUAUUUACUUCCAGGCAGCAAAAGGACAUGGGAGAUGCUUUAGGUGAACGUGAAAAGGCAUUUUAAAUUAUAGAAUGAAUUAUACCUGUCUUCUGGCACUAUGCUUAUGCCUGCAGAUUUUAAGCAGUUUUUUAUGUGUUGUAUUUGUUUCUUUUAUGCCAUUGUUCAGUCUUGUGGGGACAGCCACUGAAAGGCCAGGCUUAAAACAAGUAUAACUAUGCAUCAUGAGUGAAUCAGUUCUAUAAUGUUUGAAAGUGGUGUGCGCAUUACAUGCCCUUAACAGUAGUCACCGAGAGAAAACAAAGUGUAUUCGCUAAUUUUUCUAAUAUGUAGAGAUUAUUUCUUAGUCAUGUUUAUGCUAAGCAUUUGGCUUUUACUGGCCUUACUAUAAGUGAGUGGUCUUUUUUCCCUUUUUUCGACUGGCGCAGAUGCAUCAAAGGAUACUGGGCCUGCCGCCAGCUGACAUGUCUUUCUUCCUCCUUAGUUCUGUUAAGAUAUGGGUUCAGUUUUUCUAGACAUGCAAUCCAUAAUAUAUGCAGUCUAGUCAAUCAGUGCACGACAUUACAUGCCAUUCAUUUCCUAUGUAUAUAUUUAGUCAGAAUCAAAGCAGGACAAGCACAUGUACAUAAUUUGCAAGAAUAAAAUUUUGUUUUUUGCUAAUUUUGCUGCCUCUUAAACAUUGUUAUGAAAUGCUGGCUACAGAAGAGGCAUUUUACAAGAUGUCUUUUCAAUGUGCCUCAUUCAAAACCUUUGUGUGCUGCAUGAAUUUUGCUUGUGUUAGCAGUAUACCCAAAUUAAUUGUGCGCUAAUGCAGAUCACUGGUACUGCUAUUGUUUUCUUGGAACCAGUGGUGCGAUUCAGGAUUUCUAGGAAAUGUACAUAUAUUGAAUGCGACUGGCUUUAACUUCAAAAUAAAAACACGCAAAGCUACUAAGCUGAAAAAAAAUCAGUAUUAUGUGCUAAAUGCAUGCUUUUCCAAAGGCAUAAAUAUUAAAGGCUGCAUAGAUUCCAUAGUUUGGUAAUGAAAUCUGUCAAGGUAUAAUAGUGAGAGCCCAUCUGUGACAUGCAAACAUGUAUACAUACAUAUGCCAACAAUGUCAUUUAUGCACUGAAAUAACAUUCUUCCGAAGUGAAUAGACUCGCAAGAACAUUAAUACACUUUGCAAGUGAACAGCACUGUAGAAAUUGCAUGUCGCACACGGCCUCUCAACAUUAUAUCUUCACAGAUUUUAUUACAAACUGUGAAAUCUAUGUGGCUCCUUUUAAUAUUUAUGCCUUUGCAAAAGCAUGCAUUUAGACCAUUAUACUGAACUUUUUCAGCUUAGUAGCUUUGGUGUGUUUUAGUUUUGAAGUUAAAGCCAGUCACAUUCAAUAUAUCUACAUUGGUUAGAAAUCCUGAAUCACAAGACUGGUUAGAAGAAAAGCAUAUCAGGACCAGCGAUCUGCAUUAGUGCAUGGUUAACAUAUGCAUUAUUUAACCUUUUUUUUGCAAGGUGGAUUGCAUAAUUUCUCCGGCAAGCAAAUUAAUCCUUUAUACGAAAGUUCUACAGAUAGUCUAACGAACAGCUUGCCAAGACUUCCCCAAGACGAAUACGGAGGGAGCAUUAGCUUGGCUUCAGGAGUGCUUGUGGAGUUCUAAGGCUACUACUCGGCUUGUAGAAGCCGGAUAGUAGACAACCUCUUGGCUUGAACAAGCCCAAAUGUAGACGUCUUCUAGAUGGGUUUGUGCUACCUGGG